AAAGGCCUAAUGCACAAUCAAGCAACAACUUGUCAGGAAAAUUGGAACCAAAGUAUGAGAACCCGACUAAUGGCAAUGAAGUAAGAGGGCCAAGCUCCUCAGCAGUAGACUCCACAGAUUCAGGAGACCGUGGGAAUCUGGCUGAUAAACAAUGGGUUUAAUGGACCUGAGGGGGUUGGAGAGAAUAAUGGUGGAUCUUUCAGGGCUGGAAGCUUGGAUACUGGAAGUAAGAAGCCAUAAUUUGUCUUCUGGGUCUGGAAGUAGAAGUAAUGUUUCCACUGGUGGUGAACCUUCUGACAAAAACGAACCUGCUGACCCUGGUGUUAGUGGCAGAGUUACCUGUCCUACUGGCAAGACCCAAUCUGGAUCUCCUUCUGUGGCUUAGAUAUUUAGAGUCAUCUCUCAUUUGAAAGUCAUGAUUUUUGAAAUCUACUUUUAAAGCAACAAUGAAAAUCAUAUUCAUAAUUUGCAAUCAAGUCAGGUUUUGGGGAUCAUAAUCUACUUAGUUAUUAUCAGAUAGAAGCCUUUUAUCUUUUACUGGCAUGUAAGGAGGCAGGGCUGUUGUCUGUUUCCUUACUUGUCUUCUUUCUAAAGUGAUUUGGAUUCUGCUGCAGAAGUUAGUGUCAUUGUGGAUAUAUUUGGCUUAAUCUUUAUAUCCUGGAUGUGGAGUUGAUUGGCUAGGUGAUUUUUGCAGAUACAUUUUGGAGAUGCAUAGCCAUGUUGAUCCAUUUUUGCAAUAGCACAGGAAUUCUACAAAGUGUUAAGAUAGUGUUUGUGACUGGUCAUCCACUUUGAUUUCUUUAACUCUUAGGAAUUAGUAAAAAAAUGCCCUCUCAUAUCAAUGUGGCCUUUAGACCUUCUGAAAUGAGCAUUCAAAAAAAAUAUUCAGUAUUUAUUGGAACAUGAUAUUAGGUUUAAUAUCUGUGUAGAGUGAGAAAUCUAAAAAUCAAAUGAUAAUGUCAUUUUGUAAUAAUGUUGACCUUAUCUCAGGAUUGACUCUUAAUCUGCUAAAAAUGGCUUUGUCAUACAGUAAUAAAAUUGUAUUUUAGUUGGUCUUCAUCUUUGGGUAUAAACAUUCAUAGCCAUCACAUAUUUUAAACUAAUAAAAUUGAAAUUAU
rnacentral:lncRNA from 1 species